CCCUUAGAUGUCCUGGGCCGCACGCGCGCUACACUGACAUGUUCAACAAGUUUCUCCUAGUUCGACAGGACUGGGAAAUCUUUGAACGCAUGUCGUGAUAGGGAUAGAUCAUUGCAAUUAUUGAUCUUGAACGAGGAAUUCCUAGUAGACGUAGUUCAUCAGACUGCAUCGAUUACGUCCCUGCCCUUUGUACACACCGCCCGUCGCUCCUACCGAUUGAAUGCUCAGGUGAGCCAUUCGGACUUUCAUCAUGCUGGUUUCCAGUUUUGAUGAAGGAAAGUCUUGCGAACCUUAUCAUUUAGAGGAAGGAGAAGUCGUAACA
rnacentral:rRNA from 1 species